UGUUGAAAGUGAGAUAUAGAAGGCAAAAUAGGUUAAGUAGUGGAAAAUAGUACAAUGUCGAUUACUAGUAUUUCGGUGUAAAAUUGAGUAUUUAUGGAUUUACCAAAUGUAAUCGAGGUAUGAUUAAGGUCUCAUUGAUGAUGUAAAAAUGGUUUUAGAACCAUUAGAUCAAUUCUUGAUGGGAGGUAUACAUAAUCAGUGGUAUUGAUGCAAAGUCAAAACGAGCUUAGCAUAAGUGCGCUACGCUCGAUCGGGUAAGCAUAACUAUUGGGUAUGAAGUCAUAUGGACCUAAGGUUUGGUAUGAGUGUUUUACACAUAAGGAUAAUAGGCCUAGCAGAUGAUUAAGUCGAAAUUAUUGAAGUGAUAAGGUUUUCAUAAGUCAAAAGGUGAAAUGAUGAGAUGAAAGGUGUCAACUUUUGACAAUAAGGCUAAAUCAUUGAAAAUAAGGAAUUUUCAUCAAACCUUAUCACUUUGCACGACCAUUAUUCUGAAAAACAGAGAGAAAAGAAAACCAAAAACCAUUUCUUGGCUGGUUUGAAGAAAUUCUAAGGAGAUCCAAGUGAAAGCAAAGCCAAAGAAGUAGAUUAAGCUUAGUUCUAGCCUUUUUAUGAUAUUUCUUGGGGUUUCCAAGUGGUUUGAGGUUUAGAAAAGCUUGAAGAGAUUGUUUUCGCCGAAAAGUUGCUCGGAUAAGCACAUCAAUACCUAAGACAUCACUUGUUACACGGUGAAAUAUAUUGUGGACAAAAGGUAGAGAAAGAAGUAUGUGAAUGAUAUGAGGAGAACUGAAGCAUGGUCCUCACCCUGAUUUGUACAUAUGAACACAUCGACCUUUUUGUGGGUUAUUUCAGUUAUCAGUGAGAUGUUUGUAAUAAAGUGUGAAGUUAUGCUUUGAAAAUAAAUUGGGUUAUUUAAUACUUAUGUAUAAUAUGUUUGAGACACACUUUAUGUUUAAUGUAAAUAAUGUGAAAUAAGUUUUCAAGUUUUAAAAAAAAAAAAAUGUCCAGACUU